AACGCCUUAAUACAUGAGAAAUAACAUACCGGCGGCGGAGUUUGGCAAACGAGAUUUCAGAUCUGAAAAAAGGAAGCGGAUGGUCAGUUUAAACUACGAAAAUACUCUACGGCAUGAAGGAGAAACGAUAUUCGUCGUAAUCUGAGAGAUUACCGGCGAAGAUAACGGCAGAACACGACCACUGUAGGGUUUUCGUUUUAUCGCCUUCGAAAUCGCCCUUGGAGAGAAACGGCG
rnacentral:lncRNA from 1 species